CAAUAGCGUAUAUUUAAGUUGCUGCAGUUAAAAAGCUCGUAGUUGGAUUUCGGGUGGGAAUGGCCGGUCCGCCGUUUCGGUGUGCACUUGCUACGCCCACCUUGCUGCCGGGGACGUGCUCUUGAGUUCACGCUCGGGACACGGAGUCGGCGAGGUUACUUUGAGUAAAUUAGAGUGUUCAAAGCAGGCCUACGCUCUGAAUACAUUAGCAUGGAAUAACACGAUAGGACUCUGGCCUAUCUUGUUGGUCUGUAGGACCGGAGUAAUGAUUAAGAGGGACAGUCGGGGGCAUUCGUAUUUCAUUGUCAGAGGUGAAAUUCUUGGAUUUAUGAAAGACGAACUACUGCGAAAGCAUUUGCCAAGUAUGUUUUCAUUAA
rnacentral:rRNA from 1 species